rnacentral:rRNA from 1 species
UACGUAGGGUGCGAGCGUUGUCCGGAAUUACUGGGCGUAAAGAGCUCGUAGGUGGUUUGUCGCGUUGUUCGUGAAAACUCACAGCUCAACUGUGGGCGUGCGGGCGAUACGGGCAGACUGGAGUACUGCAGGGGAGACUGGAAUUCCUGGUGUAGCGGUGGAAAUGCGCAGACUAUCAGGAGGAACACCAGUGGCGAAGGCAGCCUCCUG